rnacentral:rRNA from 1 species
GUCGAACGCUGGCGGCGUGCUUAACACAUGCAAGUCGAACGGAAAGGCCCUGCUUUUGUGGGGUGCUCGCGUGGCGAACGUGUGAGUAACACGUGAGUAACCUGCCCUUGACUUUGUGAUAACUUCAGGAAACUGGGGCUAAUACCUGAUAGGAGCUCCUGCUGCAUGGUGGGGGUUGGAAAGUUUCGGCGGUUGGGGAUGGACUCGCGGCUUAUCAGCUUGUUGGUGGGGUAGUGGCUUACCAAGGCUUUGACGGGUAGCCGGCAUGAGAGGGUGAACGGCCACAUUGGGACUGAGAGACGGCCCAGACUGCUACGGGAGGCAGCAGUGGGGAAUAUGACACAAUGGGCGGAAGCCUGAUGCAGCAACGCCGCGUGCGGGAUGACGGCCUUCGGGUGGUAAACCGCUUUCGCCUGUGACGAAGCGUGAGUGACGGUAAUGGGUAAAGAAGCACCGGCUAACUACGUG